rnacentral:lncRNA from 1 species
GUCUGCUUGCUGCUAUCUGACUGUAAAUGUUGUCUUCUCCUCUUCUAGCUCUUCCACUAAACUCAUAACACAUAAGAUGUCCGGAUGUGCUGCAGAUCGAGGAGGAGGAUGUGCUGGAGUUCUUUGCAGCAGGAACCAGCCUGUACUUCCAGGUAGAGCAGUGUCUGCAAGAGGAAGACUGACUGUGUCGGAAGUGUGCCAGAGUGAUUUGGCUGGGUUUUCGCUAACACCAUUAGGACUGCUGUCCCAUGACUGGGGUUUGAUAGUGACCUGGGCCACAUUCUUGGUGUGUACAUUAUUAACGUGA